GAAAGAGGAAGAUUCAGGGAGGAGGAGAGGUAGAGAGAAGAAGGUGCAGGUGCGAGCUUGGGGAAGAGGGAGCCUAACAUCAGAGAGGAUGCCGCAAGGGGAGAGGAAUGGUGCAGUGAGAUUGAGGAAGACAGGACACAUCGGGACCCGGGAGCUCGAGAAGAGGCUCAAUCGAUCUCGACAAGAAG